GAAGAGGUUGAACAUCCUGCAUAGUCCUGCCAGGAAAUCCCUAUGUCAUACUAUGAAGGGGUUGGCUGUUUGCAUGUAUAAGAUGUCCCAUCUCCUGGCCCACUUCAUCA
rnacentral:pre_miRNA from 1 species